GCAAGUCGAACGGAAGUCGUCAUAAUGAUUCUGAUAUGGAUAUGAAGAUUUAUCAGAUUUGAAAUUGAAGUUGAUUAUGACAAUGGCUUUAGUGGCGGACUGGUGAGUAACGCGUAAGCAAUCUGCCUAUAGAGGGAAUAACAGUGAGAAAUCAUUGCUAAUACCGCAUAUGCCAUAGUUAUCACAUGAUAGUAGUGGGAAAGGAGUAAUCCGCUAAUAGAUGAGCUUGCGUCUGAUUAGCUAGUUGGUGGGGUAACGGCCUACCAAGGCGACGAUCAGUAGCCGGACUGAGAGGUUGAACGGCCACAUUGGGACUGAGAUACGGCCCAGACUCCUACGGGAGGCAGCAGUCGGGAAUAUUGCGCAAUGGAGGAAACUCUGACGCAGUGACGCCGCGUAUAGGAUGAAGGUUUUCGGAUUGUAAACUAUUGUCGUUAGGGAAGAUAAAAGACAGUACCUAAGGAGGAAGCUCCGGCUAACUACGUGCCAGCCGCUGC
rnacentral:rRNA from 1 species